rnacentral:rRNA from 1 species
UUGAACGCUGGCGGCAGGCCUAACACAUGCAAGUCGAGCGGAUGAAGGGAGCUUGCUCCUGGAUUCAGCGGCGGACGGGUGAGUAAUGCCUAGGAAUCUGCCUGGUAGUGGGGGAUAACGUCCGGAAACGGGCGCUAAUACCGCAUACGUCCUGAGGGAGAAAGUGGGGGAUCUUCGGACCUCACGCUAUCAGAUGAGCCUAGGUCGGAUUAGCUAGUUGGUGGGGUAAAGGCCUACCAAGGCGACGAUCCGUAACUGGUCUGAGAGGAUGAUCAGUCACACUGGAACUGAGACACGGUCCAGACUCCUACGGGAGGCAGCAGUGGGGAAUAUUGGACAAUGGGCGAAAGCCUGAUCCAGCCAUGCUGCGUGUGUGAAGAAGGUCUUCGGAUUGUAAAGCACUUUAAGUUGGGAGGAAGGGCAGUAAGUUAAUACCUUGCUGUUUUGACGUUACCAACAGAAUAAGCACCGGCUAACUUCGUG